rnacentral:lncRNA from 1 species
UCCAAUUUAGCAUGAAACCCUAGCAUUUGCCAGCAGCCGCAUUUGACUGUCAUCUCUUUUGGAUGCUGCUUCUUUUCCUCCCAUCUUCUCCUUCUUUAUUCUUCUCUUUCUCUACAAUGGUUGUUGAUAUCUUCGUGAUCUAUUUCUUUCUUCUUCAUCUAUGUAUUUUAGAAGAUCUAUUUCUUCUGUCAUUGAGAUUCAGAUCAGAUCUGCAGGUUUCAAACAAGCAAAAAAACAUAUCCUCCCAUUUUUCCGGUUUUUUCUUCAGACCGGUUUUCCCAUUUUUAUACCAUUUUAACGGUUUUUCAUUGGUUUUUUGACAGGUCGGUUUUCAUGCUCUUCCGGACCGGACUGAUGUCCGGUUCCCGGUUGAACCGGUCGGACCGGCCGGUCUGGUCCGGUUUUAAUAACCUUGGUUAAAUAUAAUUAAUGAAUUAUAUGCUUGAUAUUAUUGUUUUGUGAAAUCUCACCCCUUGUGCUUGGAAAUGUUUCUCUUCGUAUGAGUAACUUGCAGGUGAUCGAGUUUAAGUUGCUGUCGUGAGUGGAUUAUCUCUCAUGUGUGUCUUUAGGUGAUCUGAUAUGUAACGGGAUGAGAACUUUGUUGCAUGCUUUUCUAUUCCUUACGUAUUGCUUAUGAAUUUACAUGUAUAAGUUGAUGAGGCCUUCGUGCCAAAAUUAUUUUUAGAUGUUCGAAUAAAUUCCGUUGCGAAGUAUUAAAUAUUAUGUUAUUGAAUUUUGAAGGAUAAUUAGUUAAUUAUUCCGUUUAUGAUUUUAAGAAAAGAAGUGUGACAUUCCGUUUAUGUGAAUUACUCUGAUUAAUGAAAUGAAAUUUUUACGUUGGG